rnacentral:rRNA from 1 species
CAAGGCAGUUGUGAAGGUGCUGCAUGGUUGUCGUCAGCUCGUGCCGUGAGGUGUCGGCUUAAGUGCCAUAACGAGCGCAACCCUUAUCGAUAGUUACCAUCAGGUUAUGCUGGGGACUCUGUCGAGACUGCCGUCGUAAGAUGUGAGGAAGGUGGGGAUGACGUCAAAUCAGCACGGCCCUUACGUCCGGGGCUACACACGUGUUACAAUGGGGGGUACAGAAGGCAGCUACACGGCGACGUGAUGCUAAUCCCGAAAGCCUCUCUCAGUUCGGAUUGGAGUCUGCAACCCGACUCCAUGAAGCUGGAUUCGCUAGUAAUCGCGCAUCAGCCACGGCGCGGUGAAUACGUUCCCGGGCCUUGUACACACCGCCCGUCAAGCCAUGAAAGCCGGGGGUACCUGAAGUGCGUAACCGCAAGGAGCGCCCUAGGGUAAAACUGGUGAUUGGGGCUAAGUCGUAACAAAGUAGCCGUACCGGAAGGUGCGGCUGGAUCACCUC